GGAAUAUUGGACAAUGGGGGCAACCCUGAUCCAGCCAUGCCGCGUGCGUGAAGAAGGCCUUAGGGUUGUAAAGCGCUUCCACUGGUGAAGAUGAUGACGGUAGCCAGAGAAGAAGCCCCGGCUAACUCCGUGCCAGCAGCCGCGGUAAUACGGGGGGGGCAAGCGUUGUUCGGAUUUACUGGGCGUAAAGGGCGCGUAGGCGGUUCGUUAAGUCGGAUGUGAAAACUCUGGGCUCAACCCAGAGCCUGCAUCCGAUACUGACGGGCUAGAGUGCGAGAGGGGAAAGCGGAAUUCCUGGUGUAGCGGUGAAAUGCGUAGAUAUCAGGAGGAACACCGGCGGCGAAGGCGGCUUUCUGGAUCGCAACUGACGCUGAGGCGCGAAAGCUAGGGGAGCAAAC
rnacentral:rRNA from 1 species